rnacentral:rRNA from 1 species
AGAGUUUGAUCAUGGCUCAGGACGAACGCUGGCGGCGUGCUUAACACAUGCAAGUCGAACGGAAAGGCCCCUUCGGGGGUACUCGAGUGGCGAACGGGUGAGUAACACGUGGGUGAUCUGCCCUGCACUUUGGGAUAAGCCUGGGAAACUGGGUCUAAUACCGAAUAGGACCGCAUGCUUCAUGGUGUGUGGUGGAAAGCUUUUGCGGUGUGGGAUGGGCCCGCGGCCUAUCAGCUUGUUGGUGGGGUAAUGGCCUACCAAGGCGACGACGGGUAGCUGGUCUGAGAGGACGACCAGCCACACUGGGACUGAGACACGGCCCAGACUCCUACGGGAGGCAGCAGUGGGGAAUAUUGGACAAUGGGGGAAACCCUGAUCCAGCAAUGCCGCGUGUGUGAAGAAGGCCUGCGGGUUGUAAAGCACUUUCGGCGGGAAAGAAAAGUCGCGCGUUAAUACCGUGCGGCCUUGACGUUACCCGCAAAAGAAGCACCGGCUAACUCCGUGCCAGCAGCCGCGGCAAUACGGAGGGUGCAAGCGUUAAUCGGAAUUACUGGGCGUAAAGCGCACGUAGGCGGGAAAUUAAGUCGGAUGUGAAAUCCCCGGGCUUAACCUGGGAACUGCAUCCGAUACUGGUUGCCUAGAGUAUGGAAGAGGGAAGCGGAAUUCCAGGUGUAGCGGUGAAAUGCGUAGAUAUCUGGAGGAACAUCAGUGGCGAAGGCGGCUUCCUGGUCCAAUACUGACGCUGAGGUGCGAAAGCGUGGGGAGCGAACAGGAUUAGAUACCCUGGUAGUCCAA